UACGUAGGGGGCAAGCGUUGUCCGGAUUUAUUGGGCGUAAAGAGCGUGUAGGCGGCCAGGUAGGUCUGCUGUGAAAACUCGAGGCUCAACCUCGAGAUGUCGGCGGAAACCAUCUGGCUAGAGUCCGGAAGAGGAGAAUGGAAUUCCCGGUGUAGCGGUGAAAUGCGUAGAUAUCUGGAGGAACACCGGUGGCGAAGGCGGCAUCCUGGACCAACACUGACACUGAGGAGCGAAAGCCAGGGGAGCAAACGGG
rnacentral:rRNA from 1 species